GACGAACGCUGGCGGCGUGCUUAACACAUGCAAGUCGAACGGAAAGGCCCUGCUUGCAGGGUACUCGAGUGGCGAACGGGUGAGUAACACGUGGGUGAUCUGCCCUGCACUUCGGGAUAAGCCUGGGAAACUGGGUCUAAUACCGGAUAGGAGCCAUUUUUAGUGUGAUGGUUGGAAAGUUUUUUCGGUGUAGGAUGAGCUCGCGGCCUAUCAGCUUGUUGGUGGGGUAAUGGCCUACCAAGGCGGCGACGGGUAGCCGGCCUGAGAGGGUGGACGGCCACAUUGGGACUGAGAUACGGCCCAGACUCCUACGGGAGGCAGCAGUGGGGAAGAUUGCACAAUGGGCGCAAGCCUGAUGCAGCGACGCCGCGUGGGGGAUGACGGCCUUCGGGUUGUAAACUCAUUUCGCUAGGGACGAAGCUUUUUGUGACGGUACCUAGAGAAGAAGCACCGGCUAACUACGUG
rnacentral:rRNA from 1 species